rnacentral:rRNA from 1 species
GUGAGACAGGUGCUGCAUGGCUGUCGUCAGCUCGUGUUGUGAAAUGUUGGGUUAAGUCCCGCAACGAGCGCAACCCUUAUCCUUUGUUGCCAGCGGUCCGGCCGGGAACUCAAAGGAGACUGCCAGUGAUAAACUGGAGGAAGGUGGGGAUGACGUCAAGUCAUCAUGGCCCUUACGAUCAGGGCUACACACGUGCUACAAUGGCGCAUACAAAGAGAAGCGACCUCGCGAGAGCAAGCGGACCUCAUAAAGUGCGUCGUAGUCCGGAUUGGAGUCUGCAACUCGACUCCAUGAAGUCGGAAUCGCUAGUAAUCGUGGAUCAGAAUGCCACGGUGAAUACGUUCCCGGGCCUUGUACACACCGCCCGUCACACCAUGGGAGUGGGUUGCAAAAGAAGUAGGUAGCUUAACCUUCGGGAGGGCGCUUACCACUUUGUGAUUCAUGACUGGGGUGAAGUCGUAACAAGGUAACCGUAGGGGAACCUGCGGUUGGAUCACCUCCUUACCUUAAAGAAGC